GCAAGUCGAACGGCAGCACGGAGCAAUCCUGGUGGCGAGUGGCGAACGGGUGAGUAUAUAUCGGAACGUGCCCAGUCUGGGGGAUAACGCAGCGAAAGCUGCGCUAAUACCGCAUACGAUCUAUGGAUGAAAGCGGGGGACCGUAAGGCCUCGCGCGAUUGGAGCGGCCGAUAUCAGAUUAGGUAGUUGGUGGGGGUAAAGGCUCACCAAGCCAACGAUCUGUAGCUGGUCUGAGAGGACGACCAGCCACACUGGGACUGAGACACGGCCCAGACUCCUACGGGAGGCAGCAGUGGGGAAUUUUGGACAAUGGGGCGCAAGCCUGAUCCAGCAAUGCCGCGUGCAGGAAGAAGGCCUUCGGGUUGUAAACUGCUUUUGUACGGAACGAAACGGUCCUGGUUAAUACCUGGGGCUAAUGACGGUACCGUAAGAAUAAGCACCGGCUAACUACGUG
rnacentral:rRNA from 1 species